GCCCUCUCAGGGUCACACAUGGAGAGUUUCCAGUACUCAACCAAUCUCGGUUAAGGGAGGGAGAGUCAAGCAGGGACCUGUCCAUUCCAUUCCUAGUUUGGCCAGUGGCUAGUGAGUGGAAGGCAAUCUGCUACAAGU